CACGUAGGGGGCAGGCGUUGUCCGGAUUUAUUGGGCGUAAAGAGCUCGUAGGCGGUCCGAUAAGUCGGGUGUGAAACCUCCAGGCUCAACCUGGAGACGCCACCCGAUACUGUCGUGACUAGAGUCCAGUAGGGGAGCGUGGAAUUCCUGGUGUAGCGGUGAAAUGCGCAGAUAUCAGGAGGAACACCAGCGGCGAAGGCGGCGCUCUGGGCUGGCACUGACGCUGAGGAGCGAAAGCGUGGGGAGCGAACAGG
rnacentral:rRNA from 1 species